ensembl:lncRNA LINC02088 long intergenic non-protein coding RNA 2088
AAGAUCUGCACCUGCCAUGGCGGUUGGGCUCAUGUGCUCCUCUGCAUUGGAGUUAGCCAAGGAGCGUGUGCAGAACACUUGCCUCGUAGGCCAGCCGUAAGGAAGGAUGUCCCAGGUGCAGGCGAAGUUUUGUUCAUGUGUUCCUGGAGGAUUUUUCCCGUGGCAAGCGCUUCUCCAUCCUCCAGCAUCUCAGGCCUGUGCACCAGCCUUCCUGUGCCCGUUGAUGGACUGAGAGGAAGAUGAGCCCUUAGGAUGCCUGCCAUGCUCACUGUUAAGGAACAACAGGUGACCCCACUGGACUGACCACCCAAUGAGGCCUUUGAACCUCAGGCCAGGGAGAGGCAGGUCUACAGGUGACAACUGUGAACAGCCCCAGCUGGGGACAACCAGAAAUCCCCAAGGCGACGAGUGGCUGAAAGUGAUGGAGCCCCCAGGCAGAGCCGAAACCCCACUGCAGAAGCCGUGUUCAAGGAGCACUCAGAUGUUUGGCUCAUCCUCAUUGGGGUCCUUCAGCUCCUGGAGCUUCAGCCAGAGGUGGAUGAGUCACACCACGGCAUCCUUCUGCUUCUCCGACUGCUCGGGCAGCUCCAGAAUCACCUGCUUGCACUCCUCGAUCACCU